UAACAGCCAUCAGCGCUGGGCAGUGAAGCUUAACAUCAUAUCUCAGUUGUAAAGUGGAAACAUCACUCGUUUUUAAACUCUCGUAUCGUUUUAGUAGUUUUAAAUGAAAUAAUGUGGUAGGGAUUACUUAUAUUCGUUAUAUUUCCAGGCAACUUUUCAACAAACAUAUCGCAUAUCCGGCGUUUUCUUUCGACUGUUUAGAAUCUGAACUAGCAGCGUUCGAUUCGCAAAGGAAUCAUUAUUUUGAGUCAGUUCUUUACAACGAAUCACAAAAUUAUUGAAGCAGAAUCGAAUCUUUUCGAACAGCUCACUCACACACUAGGUUUCACGCCAAAGUACAAACAGUAACGGAGGCCUUAACAAAACAGAAAUGUCGCUGCAUGAAGUGAAGAAGGUCUUUUUUAAUUUCAACGCCUGCAGAUUUUAUGUCAUCACACGCGAUACAGAGUUCAGAUACAUCAUGCAGCCUUUCCAUAUUUCCUGAGGGUGUGUGUGUGCGUGUGACGGAGAGAGACCUUGUGAAUCUCUGUGUGAGAUUGGAUGACCACAGAGUGACUGCUCUUCAGUAACACCAGACAUUACAAAUGAAGCAUAAACAGCCCUUAAAUAGAGAGAUCUACUAUAGCAUGCUGCCGACAUGCAUAGGUUUUGACAACAGUAGAAAAAAGGAGUGUAGUCUCAACAGUGCGCACAUGAGAAAAGACAGAGAGAGUAAGAAACCGAAAAGGGGAAUACAUCUGAAAUGAAAAGAAGCAUGGGAUCGACAUUUCACAUCUGCUCAUCACCCCCAGGCGAGACUGGCUUUUCUCCCAAAUGUCGUUUUUUUGUGUGUGUUUGUAUGUAAGGCUACAUUGUGGAAGCACUACAGUCUCUGUUUGAGAUCACCACGCAGACUUUGUGUCUAAUGGUUAAGGAUCUGAGCUGCUAAUUAAGUGGAUUAAAUUAAAUGAAACUAUUCUGAAUUUAAAAGGGGGAUUAAGGAGUUCAUGAUGUUAUGUUAUAGGAUCUUUAAGUUAGGAUUUUAGUUCUUGGGUGCUGUAGAGCACAAUUACAUAAAAAAAAAUGCAGCUGUAGUUGUCAAAAAUUCAUCAUAAAAAUGCAGUGCCAUGUUUCAGGUAUUAUGGGAUGACAUAUUGGUGCUUGAAUAUUUUACGACUUAUAAUUGUAUUUUUAAUGAAGCAAUAAUGUUGAUAUUCCAGUUUAACUUUUCCUUUAAAACCCUGUGUAAUAUGAUUUUUUUUUUAAAUGGAACAGUUUAUUGAACCUUUUGACAGAAUAUAAAGGUUAUAUGCAAAAAAUGAAAAUAUAAAAGAAAAAAGUUAGUACAAUUACGAUAUAGUGAGAAUAUGGAGCUCAAAUUUCAAUUUAAUUCAGAGGACCAAACUGAGCGAAUAUGCAAUUUGGUGAAGAUGUUAUUUAUAUGGCCAAAAAGUGAGAUGAAAUUCUGAGUUAGUGAGAUUUUUUUAAAUCAAUACUAUAAAAAACAUAUAAAUAUGCUUAGUUUUAUGAUCAAACCUUUGUAGUUUUAAUUGUUUGGGGUAAAACAUAUAAUGCAAUACAAUAUAUAAACAUUCCUCAAAAGUUUGUUGUAUCAAAUUUUGAAGAACCAGGGGAAGGGAUAGUUCACCCA